ensembl:misc_RNA Metazoa_SRP Metazoan signal recognition particle RNA
GCCGGGCGCGGUGGCGCGAGCCUGUAAUCCAGCUACUCCGGAGGCUGAGGCUGGCGGAUCGCUUGAGCUCAGGAGUUCUGGGCUGCAGUGGGCUAUGCCGAUCGGGUGUCCGCACUAAGUUCGGCAUCAAUAUGGUGAUCCCCGGGGAGCCGAGGGCCACCAGGUUGCCUAAGGAGGGGUGAACCGGCCCAGGUCGGAGACGGAGCAGGUCAAAACUCCCGUGCCGAUCAGUAGUGGGAUAGCGCCUGUGAAUAGCCGCUGCAGCGUAGCCUGAGCAAGACAGCGAGACCCAGACUCUU